GGAGAAGUACCCAAGUGGCCGAAGGGGCUCCCCUGCUAAGGGAGUAGUGUCAGUGAUGGCAGCCCGGGUUCAAAUCCCGGCUUCUCCGCCA
rnacentral:tRNA from 2 species